GUGUCAGCCGCCGCGGUAAGACAGAGGGUGCAAACGUUGCUCGGAAUUACUGGGCGUAAAGCGCGUGUAGGUGGAUUGGUGUGUCAGAUGUGAAAUCCCUGGGCUCAACCCAGGAACUGCACCUGAAACUACCAGUCUUGAGUGGUGGAGAGGGAAGUGGAAUUCCUGGUGUAGAGGUGAAAUUCGUAGAUAUCAGGAGGAACACCAGUGGCGAAGGCGGCUUCCUGGACACCAACUGACGCUGAGACGCGAAAGCGUGGGGAGCAAACAGGAUUAGAAACCCCCGUAGUCC
rnacentral:rRNA from 1 species